rnacentral:rRNA from 1 species
AGUGAACGCUGGCGGUAGGCCUAACACAUGCAAGUCGAACGGCAGCACAGUAAGAGCUUGCUCUUACGGGUGGCGAGUGGCGGACGGGUGAGGAAUACAUCGGAAUCUACUUUUUCGUGGGGGAUAACGUAGGUAAACUUACGCUAAUACCGCAUACGACCUACGGGUGAAAGCAGUGGAUCUUCGGACCUUUCGCGAUUGAAUGAGCCGAUGUCGGAUUAGCUAGUUGGCGGGGUAAAGGCCCACCAAGGCGACGAUCCGUAGCUGGUCUGAGAGGAUGAUCAGCCACACUGGAACUGAGACACGGUCCAGACUCCUACGGGAGGCAGCAGUGGGGAAUAUUGGACAAUGGGCGCAAGCCUGAUCCAGCCAUACCGCGUGGGUGAAGAAGGCCUUCGGGUUGUAAAGCCCUUUUGUUGGGAAAGAAAAGCAGCAGGUUAAUACCCCGCUGUUCUGACGGUACCCAAAGAAUAAGCACCGGCUAACUUCGUG